UACGUAGGGUGCGAGCGUUGUCCGGAAUUAUUGGGCGUAAAGGGCUCGUAGGCGGUUUGUCGCGUCGGGAGUGAAAACCCAGGGCUUAACCCUGGGCUGGCUUCCGAUACGGGCAGACUAGAGGUAUGCAGGGGAGAACGGAAUUCCUGGUGUAGCGGUGAAAUGCGCAGAUAUCAGGAGGAACACCGGUGGCGAAGGCGGUUCUCUGGGCAUGUCCUGACGCUGAGGAGCGAAAGUGUGGGGAGCGAACAGG
rnacentral:rRNA from 1 species